rnacentral:rRNA from 1 species
CCUACGGGAGGCAGCAGUGGGGAAUUUUGGACAAUGGGCGAAAGCCUGAUCCAGCAAUGCCGCGUGCAGGAAGAAGGCCUUCGGGUUGUAAACUGCUUUUGUACGGAACGAAACGGUCUGCUUUAAUACAGUGGGCUAAUGACGGUACCGUAAGAAUAAGCACCGGCUAACUACGUGCCAGCAGCCGCGGUAAUACGUAGGGUGCGAGCGUUAAUCGGAAUUACUGGGCGUAAAGCGUGCGCAGGCGGUUAUAUAAGACAGUUGUGAAAUCCCCGGGCUCAACCUGGGAAUUGCAUCUGUGACUGUAUAGCUAGAGUACGGUAGAGGGGGAUGGAAUUCCGCGUGUAGCAGUGAAAUGCGUAGAUAUGCGGAGGAACACCGAUGGCGAAGGCAAUCCCCUGGACCUGUACUGACGCUCAUGCACGAAAGCGUGGGGAGCAAACAGGAUUAGAUACCCUGGUAGUCCACGCCCUAAACGAUGUCAACUGGUUGUUGGGUGNAUAGUACUCAGUAACGAAGACUACGCGUGAGUAGACGCCGUGGAGGUACGGCCGCGAGUAGAACGACGAAGAGUAGUAGNGNGNGAGAGACGACGACGACGACGACGGAGGGAGGAGG